UGCAUUUAUGAAGGAAAGCAUGAAGAUUUGUGAUAUCAAGUGGGAACUGACAAUCCAAAUCAGCUAUACAUUCUAACCCCUUAAUAAUCAAUCUGUCUUCAUCAUUUAAGAUCCUCCAUUGUGGGAUCACUUGUGAAACUGGAUCAGCUGAAACAGAUUAUCCUGUAGCUCCAGACUUCUUUCAAGGAAGUACAACUUAAUAGGCCGUGGUUUAGGAAGGGAAAGAAGAAUACUGCAAAUAAAUGAUUGGCUACGUAGAUGGCGUCAUCAGGAGCAGUUUGGGUUUUUGGACCAUGGCUUACCCUUUCAAGAUGAAGCUCUUCUAUCGAGAGAUGGCUUGCACCUCACAAAGACGGAUCCAUGGAUGAUAUUCAUGGCAAAAGUCCAAGCCCAUUCAAGCUCUAACCGGGGCCAGCUAUUCUCACACAGUUUUCAUCUGAAGACUUCUUCAGGGGCAAGGAAUCUGUACACUCUUAUA